rnacentral:rRNA from 1 species
UGUUAGUGGCAGACGGGUGAGUAAUGCGUAGGAAUCUACCUAGUAGUAUGGAAUAGCCAUUAGAAAUGAUGGGUAAUACUGUAUAAUCCCUGCGGGGGAAAGAUUUAUCGCUAUUAGAUGAGCCUACGUUAGAUUAGCUAGUUGGUAAGGUAAUGGCUUACCAAGGCUAUGAUCUAUAGCUGGUCUGAGAGGACGAUCAGCCACACUGGAACUGAGAUACGGUCCAGACUCCUACGGGAGGCAGCAGUGGGGAAUAUUGGACAAUGGGCGAAAGCCUGAUCCAGCUAUGCCGCGUGAGUGAAGAAGGCCUUCGGGUUGUAAAACUCUCCCAU